rnacentral:rRNA from 1 species
UACGGAGGAUCCAAGCGUUAUCCGGAUUUAUUGGGCUUAAAGGGUGCGUAGGCGGCCUAUUAAGUCAGGGGUGAAAGACGGUAGCUUAACUAUCGCAGUGCCUUUGAUACUGAUGGGCUUGAAUGUACUUGAGGUAGGCGGAAUGUGACAAGUAGCGGUGAAAUGCAUAGAUAUGUCACAGAACACCAAUUGCGAAGGCAGCUUACUAAAGUAUGAUUGACGCUGAGGCACGAAAGCGUGGGGAUCGAACAGG